rnacentral:rRNA from 1 species
UACGUAGGGGGCUAGCGUUGUCCGGAUUUACUGGGCGUAAAGAGCGCGCAGGCGGUCGUUCAAGUCGAGUGUGAAAGCCCCCGGCUCAACUGGGGAGGGUCACUCGAUACUGAUCGACUCGAAGGCAGAAGAGGGAAGCGGAAUUCCCGGUGUAGUGGUGAAAUGCGUAGAUAUCGGGAGGAACACCAGUGGCGAAGGCGGCUUUCUGGUCUGCUCUUGACGCUGGGGCGCGAAAGCUAGGGUAGCAAACGGG